AUGUACUUCAUCAUUUGCGUUGUUCGCACAGCUCUUGUUCAAGAACCUGCCAAAAUGGUUAUAAAGGAGCAAAGUGCUGCUGCUGCCAGCUUGCACAGUGACACUUUCUCAGCCACAUCAGUCCAUAUGGCUGAAGCAUCAAUGACGCAAGAAGGCUCUUUCCAAAGCCAAUUUGAAAGCAUGUCUGCUGCUAGCACAUCCGCCAUAACAUCUGAAUCAAUGGUAUCCAUGAGCUUCAGCAGUAUCACGGAAAUGUCCAGUGAAAUGAUGUCAACUCAUGGCUCCUCAAUGAGCGCUCUUAUUCAUGGUGGCGGCAAAGCUCCCAAAAUCAAAUCUCUUCCAGAGGAUACCAGCAUUGAGCCAAGAAAGACUGAGCAUGUCCUGUGCUUUCUCUGGACACCCAACACCUGAGAUCGAGUGGGUCCACUCAGGGAAACAGUGUGAUGAAGAGCGUGACAGGUUUCACAUUGAGGCCACCAAGGACCUCACCACCCUCGUCAUCCCCUGUGUGAAGGAAAACGAUGCCAAAGCGUACACCCUCAAACUGUCCAACGAGCUUUGAUCUGCCAUGGCAACUGUCAACAUUCAUAUUCCAUCCAUGUAAAAACAAUACUUUAAUCAUUUCUAUCCCCCAUUUUCCCCCCUCCAGCACCUUUUUAUUUAUUGAAUUAUCAAAAUUAAUCUUUACUUGAUAAAGACCUGGAUUUAUGUUCUUGUAAAAAAAAAAAUGUAUAUAUACCAAACUUGACUAAGUCUAAAGUUGUUAUAAAAUGUGCCAUAUUUGAUAAUUAUGACUCUAGGUCACCAGAUAAUUCUGACUUUUUUUUAAGCACUUUUCUGUGACAUGUACAUAAUGUAUAUAGCUGAAUUUAAUGGUUAUGGAAAAUGUAUGCAUUGCUAUUUAUGACAAUAUUAACUGAAACAAAAAUAACUAAAUGUUUUAACAGGAGAAAGUUUCACAUGAAACUAAUACCCUGUGAAACCUGAAACUAAACUCUGUCUUAAGUCUUAAGAUUCCCUCAACAAUUAGAGAGGCUCCUUGUUGAAGUUGACUGUGCACUGUUAUGCAAUUUUACAAAAACUCCUAUGAAUUGUAACAGGAUCAUAAGACUAAGUGCUGUUUGCAUAAACCCUCAUGUAAGCAGGACAACUAGGUAUUGUGUUCUGACUGACUCAACCACCAUUUUGAUGACAUGCUCAACAUGUGAGCAGCUUGCACUUUGUGUGCUAUUUUUAAGUGCACUGUUUCUGGCAAUUGACAGUUGAAUCGGCUUUUUAAAACAUAACAUCACCUGGCCAUUAAAAAACAAACGUCAAUUCAAGUACUUCGUUGCAGAAGCAGUGCCACCUCUAGGAGGAUUGCUAGGUAAUAUUUGGUGAGUGUGUUUAAUGUUUUAGAAUUUCACCUUGUCAGUAGUCAGGGUAACCAUCAAGUGAAUGUACCACGGGGAUACCAUCUACUGUGAAACAAAGAAAGCAAAAUGCAUUACUAAUAAUGCCCUGCACUUUGAUUUAACUGAGUCUAUUGAUGUAGAAUCACUACUAUAUUCAUCCUUGAGUUUUAUGUUACCGAUUUAAUAAAGCAGUAUUUCAGCACUAGUGAAUUACUGUUUCUUUGCCUCA
rnacentral:lncRNA from 13 species